rnacentral:guide_RNA from 1 species
GGACUUUUGCCAGCCAUGGUGUUUUAGAGCUAGAAAUAGCAAGUUAAAAUAAGGCUAGUCCGUUAUCAACUUGAAAAAGUGGCACCGAGUCGGUGC